rnacentral:rRNA from 1 species
AUUGAACGCUGGCGGCAGGCCUAACACAUGCAAGUCGAGCGGAUGACGGGAGCUUGCUCCUGGAUUCAGCGGCGGACGGGUGAGUAAUGCCUAGGAAUCUGCCUGGUAGUGGGGGACAACGUUUCGAAAGGAACGCUAAUACCGCAUACGUCCUACGGGAGAAAGCAGGGGACCUUCGGGUCUUGCGCUAUCAGAUGAGCCUAGGUCGGAGUAGCUUGUUGGUGAGGUAAUGGCUCACCAAGGCGACGAUCCAUAACUGGUCUGAGAGGAUGAUCAGUCACACUGGAACUGAGACACGGUCCAGACUCCUACGGGAGGCAGCAGUGGGGAAUAUUGGACAAUGGGCGAAAGCCUGAUCCAGCCAUGCCGCGUGUGUGAAGAAGGUCUUCGGAUUGUAAAGCACUUUAAGUUGGGAGGAAGGGUUGUAGAUUAAUACUCUGCAAUUUUGACGUUACCGACAGAAUAAGCACCGGCUAACUCUGUGCCAGCCGCCGCAGUAACAC